ACUAGCCGGACUUUGACAUCAAAGAGGUAUUUCUUCACCUUCGCAUCCUCAAAGUACAUGGUGAGGGUGUUUGGGUAGUGGUAGUUCCGGUCAGUUUCAAUCUCAAACGACGUGAUCACCUUGUACAUAACAUUCACCACAUUGAUGGGAAAACCUGCCAUGAUUGAUGCAAUGAGUACAACUCGGGGGAUAGGAAUGAUAUGGUCAUGGGAUGUAGGAUCCAGCCUUUUGCAUACAAAUGUCAACCAUCCUCUCACCUCAAAGUUUAUGUCGUUUCUCAAAAUCUUCUUCCCAACCUGUAUCCACUCCGGAGUAGUACCAGAUGAGCCAAGAACUCCGCCAACCAUGGGCAAACUUCC
rnacentral:lncRNA from 1 species